rnacentral:lncRNA from 1 species
CUGAAGCAUAAGUUCUAGGAUCCUUUGUAGUAACUGCAGAUGAUAGUCAUUCUAUUUCUAUGUGUCCUCAACAGGAAAAUUGACAUGACUCACCAGUUCAUACAGCAGUUCUCAGACUCGCAGAGGACAGAGCUGUAUGUUGUGACUGAGGCUAUUGAACUAAUGGCGCCGCUGGUCAUAAAGAAGACAAUCCAGGGAAGAGGGAAUGUCCAGAUAAGUGCAGUGGAGAUGUUUAGAAUACAGGGGCGGGGCAGAAGCAUUACAAAGAAAGCGGUGAUGAUUCCUAAGGGCACAGUGAUGGCAUAUGUGGUCGAGCCGCUGAAUACCCAGAAGAGAGAUUUCUGUUGCCACAAGGACAAAAACCCAAAGGCUAGGAGUUUAUUCCUGCAUGACGGUGUCAAGAAUGAGCUGGUGUCUUCACUAACAGAAUUUCAAACAGUAAAGGACACUGUUAAAGAAGAAUAUGAGCAGUUAACCUAUCUGAGUCAAAGUCUCAAGCUCAAUCUACUGGAAAACUUUUUGAGCUUUCUGCAGGAUGGUGACAUUGUAUCAACUGUGCAAACUCUGCUGGAAAUUUCCCUAGCUGGGGGUGAACCUAUGCACUCAGUGUUGGAUUCCCUGGAUGAAAAUCUCCAACCUCGGGUGGAAAAGUUGCUGCAGGACUUAGGGGUUUUUCAUGAUGGUGAAAGAGGAGAAGCACAUUUAUUAUGGCAACCAUUACACUUCCUGUGUUCUUCUUUAGAAGAUCUGGACUCCAGAAUGCUGCCCCUCCUUGCAGCCUGUCUGGAGCAGAAAAUGGUGGUCAAGCAGCUUGAACUGAUGGAUGGCGUCUUGGAAUGGAUUCUUUCCAGUGACAAAGGAAGCAUGUUCGCCCUGGCCUUUUUCCUGGCAGAAGAAGAACUUAACAUAACUAUAGAAAUGUUGCAUAUUUGUGGAGUGAUGCCAGACACAAGCAGAUCUUCUCUCACCUGUAUUUGGAACAAAGCAGCCCAGUCAAAUCUGACUGCAUUGUAUGCAUCCUUGUAUGGUUUCUGGAUUUUAAGUGAAUAAUGCCAUUUUUAAAGGGGGCUGUUAAAAUAUUAAAAAAUGCAGAUCAACAUACAUCUACAAACCUUUACACUAAAGAAUGAGAUUUGGUAAGGUCACUUGAAAUAUCUGCCCAUAAGCAUCUCAAGGCUAGAAUUGCUUUUGGGUACUCAUUAGAAAAAAGGGACUGAUUUCUAAGGGCCGUACCUGCCAUCCAUUUUAAGCAGAAUUCACUAUUGAUUUCAUCAGGGAAUUCUGCUUAAAUAUGGAUGGCACAACAUGGCCCUGGGUACUGCGAUCUAUCAGAUAAAACUCUAGAAAUUGGAUACAAACUAUUCUGGAUGACUGUAAAAAGGAGUAAUUUCCCUUAUCUCAAUAUUGACUUUAUUGCAGUAAAUUGCAAGGACUGUCAGCAACCCUUGUGUGCAGAAUAACAGCAAGGAAAAAGGUACAUUAUUCCAUAAACAACAAAUUAAGGGCAAAAUACAUCACACAAUCCCAUCUGGUAUAAUCUUUCCCAAGCACACAGCAAGUUCAGUUGCAUGGUGUAUACAGUGAGCCUUUGGUACAUGCCAGCUGCUAUGUGCAAGAAAAGGUGGUGAUGUUAACAUAAAUCUGAAUGUGGUCAUAGGAAGAGAGGCAAGCCAGCAUGAAAACCAGUGGAAGUGAGGUCACCACAGCAGUAUCGUCAGGGUCACCAGUCUCACUCUAAGUGCUUUAUGGAUAAUAGGAACCAGAGCUCCGUGGAAAGAGAAAAAGAAGAGGUGAGUGCAAUGACCACGUGUCCUAGAGUCUUUUUUUCAGACUGGUCUAUUGUCAGGUUUUCAGAUGAGGUGGACCAUCACUUCGUAGUGCUAAGAACAGGUGUAAUGUGCAUAGUAAAGGUGGGUGUGUACAUGUGGCAGGUGUCACUGUAAGUACUGAUGUCACUGAUGGUGAUGUUUUCAGCAGUGAGAGGAAUAUGUGAUCUAUAGAACUCAAGUAACUCACCAAUUAAUAUUUUGGAGAAAUGCCUAAAAAAGGA